AUUGUAUCUCACUAAAGAUGUUCAAGCAGGGGAAGGGAAAGGAUUAAGAAGGAGUUAGAUCCUCAGAUCCCAUCUCUCACUCCUGAUAGCCAGGAGACAUGCCCUCAUCCUGGCCAGUGACUUAAGCUUUGUUCCUGCAGAGAGUAAAAUAGAGGGUCUCUGACACAGAGUACACCAGCAAACUUAGAGAGCAGGGCUGCAGGAGAGACGUCUCUAGGAAGAUGAAACUGACAGAAUACCAGACGUGCAUGAACAUCUUGAGAAGGUAUUUAGACAACCAGUGAAGACUUUGGGGGCUAAGACAGUGAACUCUUAUAACUCAUGGCUAGCCACUCUGCAUGAUUUGGCUUCUCUCACAGCAUGGCUGUUGGAUUCCAAAGAAAAGCACCCCAGGAGAGGUUUCAAUAGAAUGAAGAGAAAAUAGACUCCAUCUCCUGAUAGUAUAUGACAAGAAUCUGGAACACCACGAUGAACUAGAAAUGCAGAUGUGGCCAUUUUUGGAAAACAAUUUAAGGGGAUCAAGUGUGGAAAGAGAAGACCUACCACCUCAUCAAGUACUAUGUGCAUAUAGCGUAUGAGAGGAAGAGAGAAGAAAAAUGCGGAGACAAAGAAGGAUAAGGAAAAGAAGGGACUCAGGGUUCUCUGAUUAUCUCCGUGCAGGUUCUGCAGGUCAUGAAGUUUGGAAGCUGAUUAGCUGAGUGGUUCCGCCUCAAGGUCUCUAGGAAAUUGGAGUCGCAACGCCCACCAGGUUGAGAAUAAUCUGCAGACUUGGCUGAAGCUGAAGGAUCCACCUCAAGUUCACUUACAAGGCUGGAAGUUGGCGCCGGCUGUUGGAAAGAAACUUUAUUCCUUUCUAGAGGAAGCUCUCCAUAAGGCUGUUUAAGUGUUCUCAUAAAAUGGUGACUAGCUUUUCCCAAAAUGAGUAAGAUUUUAUGACCUAGCCUCUGAAGAUGCACACUGUUGUUUUCACUGUAUUCUACUGGUCAAAGAGAUAACAUAAUACAAGGUGGGAGGAGAUGUCACUAGGAGGAGAAUUUUAAAAGGUAAGGAUCACUGGAAGCUACCUGGAAGGCUGGUUACCAUGCCCUCAAAGUCUCUGAUCCAGCAUCUAUAAAAUGAGAAUAAUAAUGACUUCUACCUCACAGUGUUGGUGGAAAGAUUAAAUGACACCACAUAUUCAAAGUGACUGUGGUCCAGCACUUGAUCCAUGAAUUGCAAGUCUCCUUAAUCAUUCUGUUUUCUAGGUUCUGGCACAAUGUAUGUGUGUGUGGGGGGGGGGAGGGGGUGGUGUGUGCACGCACACGUGCCUGGGUCCAUUUGGCCACCUGAUGAAGCCUGUGUACAACUUCUAAAAAUCAUACUUUUAAUAAAAAGUACAUAGGAUUAUGAAAAUACAAAAUAUACUAGAACAUAGCCACCAAAAUAUUUUAAAAUAUAUGUAAUACACUAAUAUUUGUUUCUUUAUUAAGACAUAAUACAAUGAAGCCCAAUGGCAGCUUUAAUAACUACUGUAUUUUCAAAGGAAUGAUAAGCAGAAAUGUUUUGGGAUACAUAUAAUAACUGAAAUAUGAUUAGACAAUAUCUGUGAUUUCUAUUGGUAAGAAAGUCGCAAGUACUGCCAAUGCCACCGUGGUCUUUUGCCUAUAUUCACACUUGAAACAAAGGCUAAAUUCUAGUCAGAGGUUAGUGUAAGUGAAGAUAUCAUUUUUUUAAUCCAAGUUUAAAGUUUUCAUAAACACUCUCCACAAACCCAAUGGGGUUCACUGGACGCUGGACUAAAUUUGCUUUAAAAGAAAGAAGAAGAAAGAAGAAUAAGAAGACCAUUGUAGUAUUUAAUAUUCUCUACAAAUAAUUUUCUUCCUAUUAAAUUUCCUACUGUACACAGGAAUAUCUAUUCUCCAUGGUUCUCUCAUUUCAAAAUGAUCACUCGCUGAAUUGGACAUAUACCUACAUAAUACUUUCAUUUAAACAUAUUUUAAUGAAUCUUUAGACCUAGAUAAAUGGAUUUACAGAAGUGCUACAUUAAAAGGCCAUUUUAAGUUUGGGAUCGAAAGGACCUUUAAUUUAUAGCUUCAGAAAAUAUCCAUUCCAUGGCUCAAAGAUCCUUGUGGAUUAUAAAAGAGGAAACGACUAACAGAAAAGGAAUUAUUCACCACAUUAUUAAACAUGACAAAAAGCUUCUGAGUUGGAGCUUA